AUUGAACGCUGGCGGCAGGCCUAACACAUGCAAGUCGAGCGGGGUUUUCGGACCUAGCGGCGGACGGGUGAGUAAUGCGUAGGAAGCUACCCGAUAGAGGGGGAUACCAGUUGGAAACGACUGUUAAUACCGCAUAAUGUCUACCGACCAAAGUGUGGGACCUUCGGGCCACACGCUAUCGGAUGCGCCUACGUGGGAUUAGCUAGGUGGUGGGGUAAUGGCUCACCAAGGCGACGAUCCCUAGCCGGUUUGAGAGGAUGAUCAGCCACACUGGAACGGAGACACGGUCCAGACUCCUACGGGAGGCAGCAGUGGGGAAUAUUGGACAAUGGGCGCAAGCCUGAUCCAGCCAUGCCGCGUGUGUGAAGAAGGCCUUCGGGUUGUAAAGCACUUUCAGUAGGGAGGAAGGGUGUUGUGUGAAUAGCACAGCAUUUUGACGUUACCUACAGAAGAAGCACCGGCUAACUCUGUGCCAGCAGCCGCGGUAAGUC
rnacentral:rRNA from 1 species